AUUGAACGCUGGCGGCAUGCCUUACACAUGCAAGUCGAACGGCAGCACGGGGAAACCUGGUGGCGAGAGGCGAACGGGUGAGUAAUGCAUCGGAACGUACCUUUCAGUGGGGGAUAACGUAGCGAAAGUUACGCUAAUACCGCAUAUUCUGUGAGCAGGAAAGCAGGGGAUCGCAAGACCUUGCGCUGAUUGAGCGGCCGAUGUCAGAUUAGCUAGUUGGUGAGGUAAAGGCUCACCAAGGCGACGAUCUGUAGCGGGUCUGAGAGGAUGAUCAGCCACACUGGAGAGAGGACACGGUCCAGACUCCUACGGGAGGCAGCAGUGGGGAAUUUUGGACAAUGGGGGCAACCCUGAUCCAGCCAUGCCGCGUGAGUGAAGAAGGCCUUCGGGUUGUAAAGCUCUUUCGGCCGGGAAGAAAUCGCACGGGCUAAUACCCUGUGUGGAUGACGGUACCGGAAUAAGAAGCACCGGCUAACUACGUGCCAGCCGCCGCCGCGG
rnacentral:rRNA from 1 species